rnacentral:rRNA from 1 species
AUGAACGCUGGCGGCGUGCCUAAUACCUGCAAGUCGAGCGAACAGAUGAGGAGCUUGCUCCUCUGACGUUAGCGGCGGACGGGUGAGUAACACGUGGAUAACCUACCUAUAAGACUGGGAUAACUUCGGGAAACCGGAGCUAAUACCGGAUAAUAUAUUGAACCGCAUGGUUCAAUAGUGAAAGACGGUUUUGCUGUCACUUAUAGAUGGAUCCGCGCCGCAUUAGCUAGUUGGUAAGGUAACGGCUUACCAAGGCAACGAUGCGUAGCCGACCUGAGAGGGUGAUCGGCCACACUGGAACUGAGACACGGUCCAGACUCCUACGGGAGGCAGCAGUAGGGAAUCUUCCGCAAUGGGCGAAAGCCUGACGGAGCAACGCCGCGUGAGUGAUGAAGGUCUUCGGAUCGUAAAACUCUGUUAUUAGGGAAGAACAAAUGUGUAAGUAACUAUGCACGUCUUGACGGUACCUAAUCAGAAAGCCACGGCUAACUACGUG